GUGAGUGAUUGCUGAACCCAGACUAGAAGAAGGCUAGUCUGUAAAAGAGGCUUAUUGGAACAUCUCUGAGGUCUUACUGGAGAAGAAUUAACAAUAUUCAUCUUACAAGCCUUCAAGUCAGCAACCAUGAUGAGGACAGCCAUUCCUAAUGGUCACAGCUGGAAUCAAGAGUCCAGUAUGAAGUUGGAACAAGACCAGAGUGAGACCAAAGCUGGAGCAGGCUAAGGUUUGGCACAUCCACUGCUAUUCUCAGACAGGAGCAAACUCACAGCCCUCAAGUAACAUUAAUCAGGGGAGCCAGCUGGAGCAGCCUCUCUGCACUGCAGUGAAAAGCUGCAGCUCUGGAGCGCUGAGAUGUCAAAAAAUAAUCCUCAAGUAUUAA